rnacentral:tRNA from 1 species
GGGUCGUUAACUCAGUGGGAGAGUGCUUCCCUGACACGGAAGAAGUCAUUGGUUCAAAUCCAAUACGACCCACCA